AGUCAAUGUAUGAAAGUGAAGGAGACAAAAUCAAGAACCCAUGAUGGUUCAAGUGAUGGUAUGACUUCUAUCUAUUUUUAUUGUAUUGUAAAUAAGAUUUGUUGUUAUUACUUACAUUGUUUAUUUAACUUGCUUGAAUGAUAAAUUUAUUGUGCUUUUGAAGAAAUUGAAAGGAGAGACAUAUAGCCAGUUAAAGGACUUGAAAGUCAAAAUUGUGAAGAUGGUUACCUAACUCGAUAUACGCUGGGAGAAUGACGCUAAAGAAGAAUGGGACGGACUAACAAUACCUACGUUCACCAAUGAGCAAUUGUUUGACAUGCGUUUGGGCAUUAUAAAUUGACUGAGUACGCACCCACUCAACAAGGCUUCUGGUAGGCUCAUGAGUUUUAUUGUAGAUACCAUAAAACAUGGUGACUGAAAAUGCAUAACCAGUGAAGAAGAUGAAUUGUAGACAAUGUAUUCAAUCCUUUUUUUUUUUUCUCUCUUUCUAGGAAUGUUGUGUAGAGAUUGGCAACUAUUUGUACAUGGUGCAUAGAGAUUGUAGCU